rnacentral:lncRNA from 1 species
UUAAAAGAUAAAUAGGUGUUAUGGGGCAAAAUAUUUUACCUUGUAUUGUAUGGAAAAACACCAAAGAGUCCGAAACAUUUAACACUUAUUCCAAAACGUCACCUAAGUACAUCCUUAAUUUUGAUUCAUGAUUAUUGGCACGCAAGUGUGAUGUUGUUGCUUUACACCUAUUAUGGUUACCAUUAUCUAUUGAAAAGUCAGUGUACCAAAUACUCCAUGAUUUAUAAGUUUUUAUUUUUCGUGUUAACAGUUUAGCUUAGAUUUUCAUUUUUAAAUUGUGUGCCAACCUAUAUGAUUAAUGAGUCAUUUCUGUAACAAGUUUAACCACUUUUGUUUGAGGUAUUCUAUAGUCACAUCAACUUGAAACAUAUUUAUGGUUAUAUGUACAUGUAUAAUAUGAAAAUCGGUAUGUUGUGAUAUGUUUUGUAUAUAUGUUAUAGUCCGAGUUAACAUUCCUUACGUGCAUUUAAUCAUCUUAAGUUUUGAUCAUUUAGUGGUAGUUUGUUACAGUAAAAUAUUAGUAAUGAUUUCAACAAUUUAAUAUCAGUAAUGUUAAAGUCAAAUUAAACUGACUAGUUUCAAUAAAAUUCUUGAGAGUUGUAGCGGAGGGUGGGAAUAAAUAAUUUCCCAGAAAAAUUUGAAUGUCUGCUCAAAGCAAGCGUUGCUUUCAGAAUAAUUAUGUGCUUAUGCCUUAAACAAAAGCCCUGUCAAUUAAGCGCUGAUUAAUUAAUUCAAAUGCAGUCUUAAUUUUGAUUGGUUAAUUAGUAUGAUCUCGAAAAAGCAAUUAGUAAAAGAGACUUCACAUGCAGCAGCAACGGGGAAACCCCCACACUGAUUGGACCAAAUAGUAGACAGGGAUUUCCAAAAAAAAAUUAAAAUUAUAUGUACAAUCAUUGCACAAAAAUGUAUUAUGUAUAAAUUUAAAUAAUCUAUUUAUACAAAAUAUUUCCGAUAACCUAUUAUUUUUAAGAUACAAAUGUUCAUGGAUGUCUUUGGAACAGGUGAACUACAGAUUUGAAAGUUCAACGAAUAAUAAAUUUUCCAUAAGCUUUUAUGCAAACCUGAAACCACAUAAUAAAAUAUCCUAGAAAAUGCAAGUUUUCAUGAAUCGACAAAAAUUGGUACCAACUUGAAUAAAUGUAUCUACAGUAUGUUGAGCUUAAAACAGAGUCCUAUUCUUAUAUGGCCAUUAUGAUACUGUUAUAUCUGCAUGAUCGUGUGUGUUUGCCUAUAGAUAAAUGUUUUGUUAUUUUUACAAAACAAUAUCAGAAAUAGCAAACAGAUCUAAUAAUAUGUUUUUUAAAGAUAAUUCAUGCCCUAAUAUUAAGACCAUCAAUUUUGGUAAUUCUAGUCUUGUUACCUUUUAAAUAAAGUCAAAAUGGGUCUGUAAUCUUUAUAUAGUUUCUAUCACUUUUUAUUAACAAAUCAG